AGCAUAUGAUCCAAGCAAAGACCCAGCAAGAAAGGCCAAAUCAAAUGACCCUGGGUGGAAGUAUGGGUAUUGGCCAGAUCUAACAAACAAGAAUCAUGUCAGAUGUAGU